rnacentral:lncRNA from 1 species
UGACUUUUUUUAUUAAGCCAAAAAGAAUACAUAAGUCGACAGAAAACGAAAAUAUCUUCGGAGACAAAAAAACCUAUACAUGGGAAUCAAAGCCCCAUACAAAAAGAGAGAUUGUAAAAUCAACGAAAACGGUAUAAGAGAAUUGAAAACAAAAACUCCAUAACACUAAAACUGAAACUCCGAGCAAGAAUAGUCCCGAGAUCGAAUACCCAACCUGUAGACACCAGAGUUGCACCAAAGAACCAGAGCCUUGAGAAGAGCUAUUCCAACAGCGACCAUCGAUGACGAAAGCAGGACCAAAAAAGACCAGAGACCAGAAGCUAAAACCAUCAUUGCCACUCCAAAAGGCCAAACGAACUUGAGAUGACCGAGUCUCAAGGAUAUAAACCUUGAACUUCGAUUGGGGAUUCAUCAAAGAAGAUCAAAAGCGUACAAGCUAUAUCCACUUACAGAUAUAUAGCAAGGAAUGGCAAGCGGCAUUCCGCCAGAGCAAAACUGAAGACCAACCCACUGUAACGCCUUAAACCCAAAUCCAAACUCCAAACAAGCCAGAGCCGAGCUAGUAGAUGCGUCUACAACGAGCUACUAACCAAAAGACAAACCCCAAGAUUAAACCUCAACGCAAACCAUAGCACAAAAGAAAGGGCAAAACAUGGCUAAGAAACACACGGAGCCAAGCUAGCAGCCCAAACCAGAGAAGCAGAGGCAAAACAGAUCUACACCCAGCUCAUACAACCACUUCGCACAAGAAACCGUCGAUGUAAACCUAUCUAUACCACCACCACCAGAAACGACAAGUCGCAGAAACGAAAACCUACCGAAGACCACUGAUUAUUCAAAGCCAAGGCCUUGGAGCUUCCGCAACAACUCGCCAUACUGGAGUCCUCACCACAGCGCCGCGGAGAAGAACAGAAGACACAUCCACUUCACCGCUGCAGUUUUCUUCCGUUGAUGAAUAGCAAGCAGCAACUAAGAGACCAGGGAAGGCCUUCUCACGGCUUGGCGAAGAGCGCCGGUAACGAGAGAAGACCUCCGACGCAGAGGAAAGGAGAAAGAUUACGUUUUCCUUUUAAUUAUUAUUUUUAAUAAAUAAAAAGUAUUUGAAGUGAUAAUAUUCAAAUUUCA